rnacentral:misc_RNA from 1 species
GAUGAAGAACGUAGCGAAAUGCGAUAAGUAAUGUGAAUUGCAGAAUUCAGUGAAUCAUCGAAUCUUUGAACGCACAUUGCGCCCGCCAGUAUUCUGGCGGGCAUGCCUGUUCGAGCGUCAUUUCAACCAUCAAGCCCCCGGCUUGUGUUGGGGACCUGCGGCUGCCGCAGGCCCUGAAAACCAGUGGCGGGCUCGCUGUCACACCGAGCGUAGUAGAUUUUCAUCUCGCUCAGGGCGUGCUGCGGGUUCCGGCCGUAAAAAGCCUUAUUUACCCAAGGUUGACCUCGCAUCAGGUAGGAAGACCCGCUGAACUUAAGCAUAUCAAUAAGCGGAGGA